rnacentral:rRNA from 1 species
AACGAACGCUGGCGGCAGGCUUAACACAUGCAAGUCGAGCGCCCCGCAAGGGGAGCGGCAGACGGGUGAGUAACGCGUGGGAAUCUACCCAUCUCUACGGAAUAACGCAUGGAAACGUGUGCUAAUACCGUAUACGUCCUUCGGGAGAAAGAUUUAUCGGAGAUGGAUGAGCCCGCGUUGGAUUAGCUAGUUGGUGGGGUAAAGGCCUACCAAGGCGACGAUCCAUAGCUGGUCUGAGAGGAUGAUCAGCCACACUGGGACUGAGACACGGCCCAGACUUCUACGGGAGGCAGCAGUGGGGAAUAUUGGACAAUGGGCGCAAGCCUGAUCCAGCCAUGCCGCGUGAGUGAUGAAGGCCCUAGGGUUGUAAAGCUCUUUCACCGGUGAAGAUAAUGACGGUAACCGGAGAAGAAGCCCCGGCUAACUUCGUGCCAGCCGCCGCCGUAAUAC